rnacentral:ncRNA from 2 species
CACCAUCGACAGGGGCGUCCGCGCGAGCGGUCUGAGAAGCACCCUUUGAACCUGAACCAGAUGAUGCUGGCGGAGGGAGUCGGGAGCGGACAGGC